UACGUAGGGUCCGAGCGUUGUCCGGAAUCACUGGGCGUAAAGGGCGCGUAGGCGGGAUGGCAAGUCGGUCGUGAAAUCCUUCGGCUCAACCGAAGAACGUCGGCCGAUACUGCCGUUCUUGAGGGAUGCAGAGGAGAUUGGAAUUUACGGUGUAGCGGUGAAAUGCGUAGAUAUCGUAAGGAAGACCAGUGGCGAAGGCGGGUCUCUGGACAGUUCCUGACGCUGAGGCACGAAGGUCAGGGGAGCAAACGGG
rnacentral:rRNA from 1 species